AGUAAUGUCUGGGAAACUGCCUGAUGGAGGGGGAUAACUGCUGGAAACGGUAGCUAAUACCGCAUAACGUCGCAAGACCAAAGAGGGGGACCUUCGGGCCUCUUGCCAUCUGAUGUGCCCAGAUGGGAUUAGCUAGUAGGUGGGGUAACGGCUCACCUAGGCGACGAUCCCUAGCUGGUCUGAGAGGAUGACCAGCCACACUGGAACUGAGACACGGUCCAG
rnacentral:rRNA from 1 species